rnacentral:rRNA from 1 species
UACGAAGGGGGCUAGCGUUGCUCGGAAUCACUGGGCGUAAAGGGUGCGUAGGCGGGUCUUUAAGUCAGGGGGGAAAUCCUGGAGCUCAACUCCAGAACUGCCUUUGAUACUAAAGAUCUUGAGUUCGGGAGAGGUGAGUGGAACUGCGAGUGUAGAGGUGAAAUUCGUAGAUAUUCGCAAGAACACCAGUGGCGAAGGCGGCUCACUGGCCCGAUACUGACGCUGAGGCACGAAAGCGUGGGGAGCAAACAGG